rnacentral:rRNA from 1 species
UACGUAGGUGGCAAGCGUUGUCCGGAUUUACUGGGCGUAAAGGGCGUGCAGGCGGUCUGUUAAGUCUAGGGUGAAAGCUCCCGGCUCAACUGGGAGAUGUCCUUCGAUACUGGCGGACUUGAGGGAGGCAGAGGAAAGUGGAAUUCCCGGUGUAGUGGUGAUAUGCGUAGAUAUCGGGAGGAACACCAGUGGCGAAGGCGGCUUUCUGGGCCUUACCUGACGCUGAGACGCGAAAGCGUGGGGAGCGAACCGG